CCUACGGAGGGCAGCAGUGGGGAAUAUUGGGCAAUGGGCGCAAGCCUGACCCAGCAACGCCGCGUGAAGGAAGAAGGCUUUCGGGUUGUAAACUUCUUUUAAGGGGGAAGAGCAGAAGACGGUACCCCUUGAAUAAGCCACGGCUAACUACGUGCCAGCAGCCGCGGUAAUACGUAGGUGGCAAGCGUUGUCCGGAUUUACUGGGUGUAAAGGGCGUGCAGCCGGAGAGACAAGUCAGAUGUGAAAUCCACGGGCUCAACCCGUGAACUGCAUUUGAAACUGUUUCCCUUGAGUGUCGGAGAGGUAAUCGGAAUUCCUAGUGUAGCGGUGAAAUGCGUAGAUAUUAGGAAGAACACCAGUGGCGAAGGCGGAUUACUGGACGAUAACUGACGGUGAGGCGCGAAAGCGUGGGGAGCAAACAGGAUUAGAUACCCGAGUAGUC
rnacentral:rRNA from 1 species